AUUGUGGGAUGGUGGAUGAAUCGGCACUCAACACGUGACAUGAAUGCUAACUUGCAAUGUUUUUUUUGCCUCAGGCAAAAUGUGCUGGUAAGAUAGAAAGCAUGUCUAUAAAUAUUUGUUCGAUUGAAAAAAAAUUUAAUUGGAAAUAACUGAACAUAUGCCAAAUUAACGUGACAACAAAACACUGCUCCUUAGUUAUGACUCUACUUCAUACUGUAGAGUACCAAGAACUCGCUGAUGAUUUUAUUUUGAUGUGUUGGAUGAAAUUUGUACAUUUUGUUUUAGGUACAUUGCACAGGCCGGAAGAAAAGAAUGAGAAGCAGAACCAAAAUCUUACUUUGCCACCAAUGCAGCUGAUGAGGAGUGACAGAAAGGAAUACCUAGGAACUAUGCUGUGAGUGCCAUCCGUCUGGCCUUCAUUGCCAUGCUUCUCAUCGGGCUGCCAACUGGGUACGUUGCAGCUUGUUCCACAGUCUUCACAGCCAUCACCCUGCAAUUGCCAAUUCCUGACAUCGUCGACAGUGUACCUUUCUUGGAUGCACCCUCACCUGGCAAGCUCGUUCACUGAAGUUGAACCACAUUUGCAGAGACUCAAGUAAACUACAGCAACUUCAAUAUGCCACUCAAUUUGCACCUGUGAACUUCAGUGGGCAUGUGAGCUGUGGUAGCAGUAUGGCUAUUAGCUGUACCUCAAUUGUGAUGCAGGUUGGUGCACAUUUAUCAUUAUACACUAAAGGAUUGAAUUCCCUGUGCCUGCUGCUGUUCCGUGCCCACAGGUGCGAGUGAGAGAUUAUGUAAAUGCUUCUUUGACAUUUAUGCUAUUAUGUUCCUAUAACACUCGUCAUAACACUCAUUCUGAAUCCCUUCUAGAAAUUGACUCCCUCUGUAACGACUCGCAAACCAACGAGGGUUUUGUGUCACUUUUCCAAGGUUAUGCAUAACCAUUCACUUCAAAGUAUCAAGUCCAAGCCGAAUUCACUGCAGAUCUAAGAAGCUUAGAUGCUAAAAUUAGUGGCACAAACAAGACUAGAAGUGUUUGAACAAAAAACACUAGACAAUUACGAGGAGUAGCACACAACAAUCUAAAGAUAACUUGAAGAGCUCACCUCUAGGUAUGAAUUGUUAGAAUCUCGACUGAAUAAACAAGAACACCAAUCACGUCAUGGCAGUUUAAUGAGUUAUGGUCCACUGGACAGAAAAAAAACUUGGUAACAAACUGAACAGAAAAUAUUUGCAAGUUUUACCUUGAUUUUUAAAGGCCUAUUUUCUGAUCUAAUCAAGAGGGCACAUCAAAUGGCCUGCUUUGCACUGAAUGAAUGUCAGCAAAUAAUCAUAAAACUCAGUUGCUUUAAAACAACUGGAAAGCUUCGUUCGAUGUGGAACCUGUUUUGCUAACACGCUUAUCAGCGGAAGGUUUUCUAUUUUGGUAAAAGCAAGUUCUUGUUCUGAACCUUUUAAGCUCCAUGAAGACAAGCUGUACCUGAAUGGGAUGUGCCAGUUUUUUAACGCUGGUAUACUGCCUCGGUUCGUGAAAUUGUGGCAUGGGGCAAUAACACAAUCAGCAGUGGCAAUCAUUCAUUGCAUACAACACGUGCAUCAUGGUUAGAAAAUGAGAGGGGUAAUGACUGUCUGCCAUAAUCAUGUCCUCAUGUGUAUUUAGCACAAUAUUUCUGCCAGCCUUUUGUUCCUUGCUUAUGUACCUUUGCACCGAUAUUGUAAAUAUAGAUAAAAGCCUUUUCAGCCAAACUUUUGCUAGGAUUGUAUAAACAGGAAUUAUUCCCAUUUUCUAGCUGUCUAUUUGUUUUUAAUGACAGAGCACCUGACAUUAUAUGAAAGAAACGAUGUUGCAACAUGUCUUGCUCAUAAUAAUUACGCAUGUUUAAAAUGUUUUUUUGUACCACUUCAAUUUAUGUUUGAUUCUGUGACUAAACACAUAAAUAAGUAAUCGUGAAUAAAUGUCUUCAUUUUUUUCCCC
rnacentral:lncRNA from 1 species